GACGAACGCUGGCGGCGUGCUUAACACAUGCAAGUCGAACGGAAAGGCCCUGCUUUUGUGGGGUGCUCGAGUGGCGAACGGGUGAGUAACACGUGAGUAACCUGCCCUUGACUUUGGGAUAACUUCAGGAAACUGGGGCUAAUACCGGAUAGGGGCUCCUGCUGCAUGGUGGGGGUUGGAAAGUUUCGGCGGUUGGGGAUGGACUCGCGGCUUAUCAGCUUGUUGGUGGGGUAGUGGCUUACCAAGGCUUUGACGGGUAGCCGGCCUGAGAGGGUGACCGGCCACAUUGGGACUGAGAUACGGCCCAGACUCCUACGGGAGGCAGCAGUGGGGAAUAUAGCACAAUGGGCGGAAGCCUGAUGCAGCAACGCCGCGUGCGGGAUGACGGCCUUCGGGUUGUAAACCGCUUUCGCCUGUGACGAAGCGUGAGUGACGGUAAUGGGUAAAGAAGCACCGGCUAACUACGUG
rnacentral:rRNA from 1 species